GGAGAGAUGCCAGAGUGGUUGAAUGGGCGCGCCUGGAAAGCGCGUAAGGCGGCAACGUCUUCGAGGGUUCGAAUCCCUCUCUCUCCGCCA
rnacentral:tRNA from 1 species